UUUUGCAUUUAUUAACUCUUCAAUAUCUCGGAAAAUCUUUCCAAUCCCAGGAAUUGAAUUUCCCAAAACUGUUAUCUAUUUCAUCGCCAAUUUGCUCUUUUUGUCUCUUCUCAUCCUCUUUCAUCCAUUAUCUUUUCAAAUUUUCUCAAUUUCGAGGAUUUGAGAUUUCCAUAUUUGAAAAUUUUCAGAUGGGUACACUGUGAAGUUGAGUUUCCUGGAAGUGUAAUCUGCUGGGUGGGAGAGAGGAAGUAUUGUUCAGGCGCGCUGUAGAUCCUCUGUUUCUGCUACUCUGUUCGUCUAUGAUAUCGUAAUUAAUUGGAAAAAGAAUUCAGAAAGAAAAAAAUUUAUCGCAUUUCUAGGAGAUUCUCAGCUUAAUUGUUUAUACCUUUUCUCUAAUUCCCAAAAAAACAAG
rnacentral:misc_RNA from 1 species